UAGUCUUCUCCACCCACUACUUAGUAAGAACUCCUUAACUAGAAGACUAACAACUUAAAGCUUUAUCCCUGUGAGUACCAGAAAAGUGAUCUGAGUAUUUAUUGAACAGAGAAAGCAAAUUGCCUACUUGAGGCAGGGAGAAAGCUUAUGGAAAAUUAUUAGGACUCCAGCAAAGUGCACAGCUGCAUAGGACAGAAUCUGAGACUCAAACUGACAGGCAAAUAAGCCAGAUCACUGGAGGGGCCUCUGUGUGGCAGCUCUGAGCUACUAAGUGUUGGACAACUAUAGACAAAACGUGAAAUGGAACAGGGCAGAAAAUAAUACACUAACUUCAGGCAACUGUUGCUUUUCUAUGGUCUUCAGGGAUUUUGAAUUGCAAAACAAUUCUCCAUUUAAACACUAAGCUUAUUACACCAAAGGAUUGUGGUCAUUCUGGUCCAUCUGUGACACCCCACUCUGCUGGUGAUGUCACAUGCUGCUCUGACUAGCAUUACAGAAUGGAACCAGUCUUUGGAGGAAUUGGCUGCCAUUCCAACUUUUGUGAAAAGAUUGCUUUUAUUGUUUCACAAUUUAAGGAACAAGACAAGACAACUUUAGGAACAUACUUCUUGUGAUAUGCUCAGUGCUUGUUUUCAUAAAUUCUUCAGCAGCCUGUGCAUUGCGAUGAACUGUACAGUGAUCGGAAAAUUUAAAACAGAAUGGAAAAUGAAGAAGUUGUUAAUAACAGAAAUCAACAAAGCUGAAGCACUUCCCGAAGAGCACUGAGUUUUCUGUACCAGAUUCUACUUCAGUGGCCAGGACCUUUAUGGCCGCUGAUCCUGUUUGGCUCUGGGUUCUGAUGAGAAAGCACCGUGGAUCCAGCCCUAAAGUAGAAAUUUUCUUUUUUCAUUCCGCAAGCAAGGCUAAACCUCGGAGAGGAGAAUGAAUGUGAAUGCAGUUCGAGAUUGCGGUCGUGUCAUUAAAAGUGUUCGGCUUCCGAGCAAAAUGGGAAAUCCGAUCAGUUGAUCUUCCUGUACCAACAAUAUUUAAAAGUUGUAUGUGGUUCGAGUGACCUGGCUCGAGCAACAACAAUCUCUGUAUGUCAAUAUUUUCUGUGGUUUAUGGAGUGAAAAGUAGUUGCUGGGUUGGAAAGGAAGAAGCUGCUAAUCUCAGCCUGUAGAAGGAUUAAAUGUUGAAUAUGGGGAAAAGGCAAAAAAAGUAAAUAUCUGCCUGAAGGCUAUCGUGGCACUGAAGAUGAGUUUAAAAUGCUGUCUAUCCUAGGGCCCACCUUAACAGCAAGACUAAACAUAUAAUGGGGGGAUAUUUAAAUUAGAAACCCAUUAACAAGCAUUUAAUCCUUCUUUAAGGCAGUAGAGGAAAUAAUAUAAAACUGUUAUUGUACAAAUCUUUUAGAAGCAGAUUUUAACUCAUAUGUAGGCUCUUCUUUUUCAAGUAUUUAAUAUAGCAUCUCAGGAAUCAGGAUAGUGAACAUUUUUCCUGUACUCUCCCCUUCCUCCCCCCCAGAGUCAUGGCAUAUAUUCUAAGAAACAUUUUAGUCAAUCAAAUUAUGUAUUGUUUUCAGUGUAUGUGCAUAUAUUGCCUGCUUGUUUGAUAUUUUCUGCCCCUACUUGGAAAUGUGUUUAACUUUUUUUAAAAUAGCAGGGAACAAAAAGAGUUUUACUGAAUGCAAUUGUGAUGAUACAGAUUAUUCGAAGAAGAAUUCUACUGGAUCACAUUGGACUUUUCCUAGUCCCUGAGACCCUAACUUGUGAGGUUUUUUAGCAACAAUCACAAGUCAGGCUCUUGGGACCUAGGCGGAGGGGAACCAGCAGCUUUGGACUUAUUGAUUGUUUUUCUGCGAUAUUAAGAGAACCAAAGGAAACAUUCCUGUCCAGGGGAAUUAUUAAUUUCAUAUGUUAAGAACUAUUACUAAACAACAAUAUUCUUAUCCACUGUACCCGCUAAAGUGGUUAUAUGAAGAUGCUACAUAUUUGCAUGUUUAGAAACCUGUAUUGUACAGGAUAUUGUGUAAAAUCUGGAAUUAAAAUUUAAAACAAAUGCUAGAUACAUACAUGAAAAGCCAAGUACUGAAAAAUACGUGAAGUAUUUCCAACCAUGAUUCUGCUAUUAUGGAUGAUACACAUAGAUAAUUAAGAUGAAGCACAUGUCCAGUUGUACUGCUAUAGUAUUUGAUUUACUCUUUAAAUCGGACAAUUUGAACACUGAUGCAUGAGGCCUAGCACACCAUACAUUCUGGGGUAUAGAGAUAUGAACAGACAAGAAAACUGUUGCUUAGUUUUCCCUGUAAUCCAAUACAGAGAUUCCUCUAUAGUUAGCUGUCAUUACUCUGUCUAAGCAAAAACACAAUAUGAAAUUAUGAAGCGUCACACUUACUUGAAACCACAUUUUAAUAUGAUAAGAAAAUUGAUAGGUAGUGUCAAGUUCAUAACACACUAUUGAAAUCACUUGGAACACAAGGCUAUUUACUCUUGAUGUUGAUGUACUUAUUCUAUCUAAACCAUGAAAGCAGUAUACCAUUUAUUGGGUUCAACAUCUAGUCUCUUCCUUCACUUUUCACCUUUAUUCAGUUAUAGAAACAGAAUGACUUUUAUGUUGUCCCCAGAUGCAAAAUACUUGUGACCUAAGUACACAAAGAUUUGGAAGGACAAGAUACGUUGUAACAUUUAUCAGUCCCUCAAAGUGCUGAAGUAUUAAGUUCCGAUGAAUCACUUCGUUUCCUGUAUCUACCCCAACAUGCUGCAGCACCUUGUAGAUGGUGUGCUAAUAUCAAACCUCACUGAUUUAAAACAAAGGCUUUACACAGCACAAGCAUCUAAACAAUUUGUUCAUUUCAAAAGCAGUAUUUUGGCUUGAGUUAUUUUUUUUCCACGCAUGUAGGAGGAAUUGUGCAUUAUUGUAAGUGACAACCCUUUGUUAAAAUAAAUUAUUCUUACGCGUUAGCAUAA